AUUGAACGCUGGCGGCAGGCCUAACACAUGCAAGUCGAGCGGAUGAAGGGAGCUUGCUCCUGGAUUCAGCGGCGGACGGGUGAGUAAUGCCUAGGAAUCUGCCUGGUAGUGGGUGAUAACGUCCGGAAACGGGCGCUAAUACCGCAUACGUCCUGAGGGAGCAAGUGGGGGAUCUUCGGACCUCACGCUAUCAGAUGAGCCUAGGUCGGAUUAGCUAGUUUGUGGGGUAAAGGCCUACUAAGGCGACGAUCCGUAAGUGGUCUGAGAGGCUGAUCAGUGACACUGGAGCUGAGACGCGGUCCUGGGUACUACGGGACGCCGCAGAGGGGAAUAGUAGACAGUAGUGGAGAGUAUGGUACAGCCGUGCCAAGUGUGAUACAGAGGUCCUGCGAUUGUAAAGAACGUUAAGGUGGGAGAAAGCGCAGUAAGCUAAUACGUUGCUGGUUUGACGUUAAUGACAGAAUAAGCACCGGCUAACUUCGUG
rnacentral:rRNA from 1 species